ensembl:lincRNA
CAGCAGUCCCUCCCUCCACUUUCCAGAGCUGGCUUGCUCGAGCACCUGGGGGCACAGGCAGGGAGGCCUGGCGCUGGCCUUGUCCCAGACGACUCUCCAGGCAGGGCUGAUUCAGACUCUCCAGGCCCGGCCCAGCCCUGGAGAAUCCGAUGACUCAGAGGUGUGGGAAACAGGAGAUGAAUGAACCCUGCUGACAGAAGCCCUGAGCCGGCCAGGCCAGGGAAAGCCAAGGGCUGAGUCCCGCCAGACAGCUGAAAGUGGGUGGCGGGGCAGGCUGGGGCUCCUCCGGGCCACCUCCAGGCAGGCGGGCGGCAGGAGGGACAGCUCUUCCACAGCUAGGAAGCCAGUGGAGCACGGCCUGCCCUCCGGUUCCCACAAUAGGAGGAAACGGAGGCAAAAGGGCACCAGAGGGAGGACAUCCCCGGGAGGCCCAGGCCAGCCCUGCACACACGGCUUCCUUCCAGUCAGAAAGACAUCCACAGUCUCCGCUGGGCUCCCCCGCUUCCCUCCUCCAGGCUGCGAUGGCCCAGCCACCCCGGGCCGGCUGACCAUGGCCACACAGGGACACGGAGGUACCCACAGGUGCCACCUGGGCCUUCCCUCUCACUGAGACAAAAGCAGCUCCUGUCAAACAGAUGUUAGCUGUGCGCCAGACGCUGAGCUCGGAGCCAGCUGCACAGCAGACAGCAGGCGGGACAUGCUGUUAACCCACCUCCAGUCUCAAGGUGGAAUUCGCAUUCACGGCAAGAGCACACAUUGCACAGAGAAAGUCAAGGCGCUACCAGGGACCACGGGGCGGACUGGACCUGGGCCAAGAGCAACACAUCCUUGUGCAUCCUUGUACCGUCACACACAUCCCAAUCGUGUCCCGAGGACUCCAACCCAUCACUUUGCCGCCCCUCCAUCCCCUCCCACUCUCGGCGGUCCAGAGCUGUCCACAACCUGUGAGGACUUUCUGAUAGCACAGCCAAAGAGAUGAGCUGUUGAAAACAUAAAACCAGCACAAGCUCACAGCACAGCCUGGACGGAGAGGCAUAUCACGGCGAACAAGCUCACUGGAACUGAAUUACUGAAAACCUGAGCUCAGCUUAAAGGUGCUGAAAACACUGCGAAGUUUUUCUAGCAAGCUGGAAAACAAACUCUUCAAGUUUGCAGGCUAAGUGAUUCUAAGGGAGGCAUAUUUCACGCAGUGCGACUGAAAUGUAGGCGUGUGUGACACCAGCAUCUCCCUGCCGCCCUGCAAUCCAUCAACCCCCUGCAAUUUGCUCUUCACGCCGGAUUCCGACCCAGUCCUCGUCCUUAGAAAGGAGCGAUCGCACACGCCUCACACGGCAAGUUUCUCCGCUUUGGGGCAGCAGGAAAUUCCAGCUGCUUCAUUCACCGGAGUCGGCGUGGCUGCUGAAUGAGAUGCGUGGGGCGAUCACCGGGUCAAGACACUCGAUUUUCAGGCUUGCGGGAGGCCAGAUAGGGAUGGAUGCAUUCAGAGUUCGGGCUCAAGGUCAACGGCCUCCACAAAGCGCUGGGGAAACAAAACUCGGCGCCAAAAGGGAAAGCCCUGAACUGAAAGUAAGAACUGCGGAUAAGACCAGAGAGGGCAUGGUGGGGCGGAGGUGACACCUGGCGCGCUGAGAUCCCCGCGAGGCCGUGAGCACUCCACAGCCACGUCUGUGCGCCGCCGAGGCUUCUCCGCGGACUGUGCCCCUCGCCCCACGCACCGGCCGCCCGU